CAGGUGGCGGAGCUGCUUGAAGCCUCCUUCACUCCUCACCCUGGAUGUUUACCCACAUGCAGGUGGCUGCAGGCUCUCAGAGCUCCCACUGCUGCUGACAGAUGACGUUUAAUUAAAGGGAGGUGGGUCCGGUCCUGUCAAACCGCAUCAAAGCCCGCCGAGCCCCAGCCCAGGAACACAGCUCCUCUUGUCCAAGAGCAUCACCUCACGGGGUGUGACUGCAUUCCCUGCAGGGACGGCUGCUGCGCUGCGCCCUGGGGCCGGUCCAACAUCCACCGAAUGGAAAACUCCCAUCGACAUCCAUCAAUCCAAGAUUAGAAAGGGUUUUAUAAAGCCCGCACUACCUCGGGGAUGAACGAUAAAAUACAACCCUUCUCAAAAUUUACAUUUUAAAGAAAUCCAAUUUUCCACGCCCCAUAAAUCCCAGCGCUGUGUGUGGUUAUGGGACACACCGGGCACAGUCGUGGCUCUGCAAACCCUCCUGGUCCCAUCCUUCUCAUUUGGAUCUCACUAUGAAAAGGCACUCAUUGUGUUCUUAGUACAGUGCCGAACCACCUUCCCUCCCCUCAUCCUAAGGAAAAC
ensembl:lncRNA